GUGUUCGCUUUGGCAACACAUAUACUAAAAAAUUGGAAUGAUACAGAGAUUAGCAUGGCCCCUGCGCAAGGAUGACAAAAGAAAGAAACUUUUUUUGUGUGU